rnacentral:rRNA from 1 species
UGGGGAAUAUUGGACAAUGGGCGAAAGCCUGAUCCAGCCACGCCGCGUGUGUGAUGAAGGCCUUCGGGUCGUAAAGCACUGUGGAGGGGGAAGAACAGGUAGCGGGAACAAUACCCCGCUGCACUGACGGUACCCCUUUAGCAAGCACCGGCUAACUCCGUGCCAGCAGCCGCGGUAAUACGGAGGGUGCAAACGUUGCUCGGAAUCAUUGGGCGUAAAGCGCGUGUAGGCGGCGCGUUAAGUCGAGUGUGAAAGCCCUGGGCUCAACCCAGGAAGUGCGCUCGAUACUGGCGUGCUUGAGUACGGGAGAGGGUAGCGGAAUUCCCGGUGUAGAGGUGAAAUUCGUAGAUAUCGGGAGGAACACCAGUGGCGAAGGCGGCUACCUGGACCGAUACUGACGCUGAGACGCGAAAGCGUGGGUAGCAAACAGG